rnacentral:rRNA from 1 species
UACGGAGGAUCCAAGCGUUAUCCGGAUUUAUUGGGUUUAAAGGGUGCGUAGGCGGCUUAUUAAGUCAGGGGUGAAAGACGGUGGCUCAACCAUCGCAGUGCCUUUGAUACUGAUGAGCUUGAUUAACUAGAGUAGGCGGAAUGUGACAAGUAGCGGUGAAAUGCAUAGAUAUGUCACAGAACACCGAUUGCGAAGGCAGCUUACUAAGGUUUCAAUGACGCUGAGGCACGAAAGCGUGGGGAUCAAACAGG